rnacentral:lncRNA from 1 species
GCAAGAAAACUGAGGACCAUGAAGUUUAGAUGACUCACUGAAAAUCACACGUGGCUACAUCCUCUUGGAUUGAAUGUCUUUUGACUUUUGAAAUGUCUCUUGCAUCUAUGGACAUUACUAUGGCAACAGUGUUGUGGACAGAGUGCUUCUGUUGCUGCUUUUGGGGAUUCACUGCAAAGUUUCUAAGACCAAUUCAUUUACCUUUGCUACUACCAUAGACUCACUUUGGGCCAAUCUGCAAGCAUCCUGAUUUAUGAAAAGCUUAUGGCACUACACUCAUACUGGGUAAAAUCAACAUCUCCUGAGUCUCUAGAGUCAAAACGAUCUUUGGCUCCUCACACUUCUUUCACUGCAUCCGCUUUCCAAGGCAUGGAACAUUUUUUCCAUACAAUCACCAAGAUCAGUUGCCUUUUCAAGUUCACUACAAAAUCUUGGUAUGGAGAUUCUUAUUCCUGUAAUACUGUUUUCUUGUAUUCCUUUUUAUUAUUAUUAUUUCUCUCCCUCUCAUCCUGGGCAGGUCACACAACUCUGUUUACCUCAAUAUCCUUAUUUGUAAAAAUAUUUGAGUUACAGAAGAUGGUAAACCAAUCCAGUAUCUUUGCCAAAAAAAAAUCUCAAAAAGUAUCAAGGGUCAGACAUGACUGA